UACAGAGGGUGCAAGCGUUGUUCGGAAUUAUUGGGCGUAAAGGGUGCGUAGGCGGUGCGGUAAGUCUGUAGUGAAAUCUCUGGGCUCAACUCAGAGUCUGCUAUAGAAACUGCCGUGCUUGAGUGUGGGAGAGGUGAGUGGAAUUCCCGGUGUAGCAGUGAAAUGCGUAGAGAUGUGGAGGAACACCGAUGGCGAAGGCAGCCUCCUGGGCCAAUAUUGACGCUCAGGCACGAAAGCGUGGGGAGCAAACAGG
rnacentral:rRNA from 1 species